UACACACAUCGGGCCAUCACUUUCUUCUCCAGCGCAAUGCUUAUCCAUCCGUCUCCAUUCAGAUGCACUGCAUCCCAUCUCACUUAUUCUCUCGCUCCAUCUUUCCUUCUCAUCCCAAACGCCGCAGCCAGUGUGAAGCCUCCAAAGUCGCUGGCGCCCCCACGUUCCACCGGAGCGAGGCGCCGCCGCCGGAUCUCGUCCCCUCCCCCUCCCCCUUUGCCGAUGUGAAGCCAAGUCGCUGGAGCAGAGAUCUGGAGCGCCUCGCCAGAUCUCUCCUCUGCACCCCUGCCAGCCGCGUCAGGCUCCGCCUCGCUACUGGCGGUCUCUCCCCGGCAAGCCCAUCGGUCGGUGAGAGUAGCUCACUCUCGAUCCCCUUGUGCUCGCGCGCCACCAGGGGAGGAUGAACCCCUUGCACCCGCGCCGACGACCUCUCCGAUCGGCACCGUGCCUCGUCCCGAGCCAUCGGGGCCGAGCGGCUGUAGCGGGCCAGAGGCAGCGCGUCUGGCAGCGACGACCUCCCCCCCCCCCCCCCCCCCCCCCCCCCCCCAAAUCCCAGUCGCUCGCUUGCCGGACCCCACUGGACCCCGGCCGCCGUGGUUCCCACCGUGCCUCGUCCCGAGCCAUCGGGGCCGAGCGGCUGUAGCAGGCCAGAGGCAGCGCGUCUGGCAGCGUCGGCCUGCUUCGCCGGCCUAGCCGUGUUGGUGGUGUAAUUUUUCUGUCAGAUCGGGUCUCUCCUUCCUCAGAUUGGAAUGAUGGCCAUUUUUUUUGUUCCAUCUUUGUAGAUAGCAGCUUUCUUCUUCAGAUCGGAUCACACGGCCGAUUUUGUAUGUAUCUUCAGAUCGGCUCUUCUCAUUUACAAUCGGUGAUUGCCCAACGGGGCGACCAGAAGACAAGUGAGCGACAUCGAAUCGUUUUUUCUCA